rnacentral:rRNA from 1 species
GAUGAACGCUGGCGGCAUGCCUAAUACAUGCAAGUCGAACGAGAGGAAGGAAAGCUUGCUUUUCUGAAUCUAGUGGCGAACGGGUGAGUAACACGUAGGUAACCUGCCCAUGUGCCCGGGAUAACUUCUGGAAACGGAUGCUAAAACCGGAUAGGUAGCAGACAAGCAUUUGACUGCUAUUAAAGUGGCUAAGGCCAUGAACAUGGAUGGACCUGCGGUGCAUUAGCUAGUUGGUGAGGUAACGGCCCACCAAGGCGACGAUGCAUAGCCGGCCUGAGAGGGCGGACGGCCACAUUGGGACUGAGACACGGCCCAAACUCCUACGGGAGGCAGCAGUAGGGAAUUUUCGUCAAUGGGGGGAACCCUGAACGAGCAAUGCCGCGUGAGUGAAGAAGGUCUUCGGAUUGUAAAGCUCUGUUGUAAGAGAAAAACGACAUUCAUAGGGAAUGAUGAGUGAGUGA